rnacentral:sRNA from 1 species
UAGAGGCGGCAGAGACAGAAACAGAGCCAAGGCUGCAGAGGCGGGAGGCAGGAGGGCAAACCCACCUCAGCGGGUUUUGCUCCC